rnacentral:rRNA from 1 species
UACGAAGGGGGCUAGCGUUGUUCGGAAUUACUGGGCGUAAAGCGCACGUAGGCGGAUCGAUCAGUCAGGGGUGAAAUCCCGCAGCUCAACUGCGGAACUGCCUUUGAUACUGUCGGUCUAGAGUAUGGAAGAGGUGAGUGGAAUUCCGAGUGUAGAGGUGAAAUUCGUAGAUAUUCGGAGGAACACCAGUGGCGAAGGCGGCUCACUGGUCCAUUACUGACGCUGAGGUGCGAAAGCGUGGGGAGCAAACAGGAUUAGAAACCCGUGUAGU